AACGAACGCUGGCGGCAGGCUUAACACAUGCAAGUCGAGCGAGACCUUCGGGUCUAGCGGCGGACGGGUGAGUAACGCGUGGGAACGUGCCCUUCUCUACGGAAUAGCCCCGGGAAACUGGGAGUAAUACCGUAUACGCCCUUUGGGGGAAAGAUUUAUCGGAGAAGGAUCGGCCCGCGUUGGAUUAGGUAGUUGGUGGGGUAAUGGCCCACCAAGCCGACGAUCCAUAGCUGGUUUGAGAGGAUGAUCAGCCACACUGGGACUGAGACACGGCCCAGACUCCUACGGGAGGCAGCAGUGGGGAAUCUUAGACAAUGGGGGCAACCCUGAUCUAGCCAUGCCGCGUGAGUGAUGAAGGCCCUUAGGGUUGUAAAGCUCUUCA
rnacentral:rRNA from 1 species